AGUGAACGCUGGUGGGAGGCCUAACACAUGCAAGCGGAACGGCAGCACAGUAAGAGCUUGCUCUUACGGGUGGCGAGUGGCGGACGGGUGGGGAAUACAUCGGAAUCUACUUUUUCGUGGGGGAUAGCGUAGGGAAACUUACGCUAAUACCGCAUACGACCGACGGGUGAAAGCAGGGGAUCUUCGGACCUUGCACGAUUGAGUGAGCCGAUGUCGGAUUAGCUAGUUGGCGGGGUAAAGGCCCACCAAGGCGACGACCCGUAGCUGGUCUGAGAGGAUGAUCAGCCACACUGGAACUGAGACACGGUCCAGAAUCCUACGGGAGGCAGCAGUGGGGAAUAUUGGACAAUGGGCGCAAGCCUGAUCCAGCCAUACCGCGUGGGUGAAGAAGGCCUUCGGGUUGUAAAGCCCUUUUGUUGGGAAAGAAAAGCAGCAGGUUAAUACCCCGCUGUUCUGACGGUACCCAAAGAAUAAGCACCGGCUAACUUCGUG
rnacentral:rRNA from 1 species